UCCUCGGUAGUAUAGUGGUCAGUAUCCCCGCCUGUCACGCGGGAGACCGGGGUUCGAUUCUCGCCGGGGAG
rnacentral:tRNA from 1 species